rnacentral:rRNA from 1 species
AUUGAACGCUGGCGGCAUGGCUAAAACAUGCAAGUCGAACGCGAACGUCCCUUCGGGGACUAUUAGAGUGGCGAACGGGCGAGUAAUACGUUUCUAACGUGCCUCGAGGUCGGGGAUAGCUCACCGAAAGGUGUGGUAAUACCCGAUGACCCCAUCGGACCGCAUGGUCUGUUGGGCAAAGGCUUGCUGCCUCGAGAUCGGGAAACGCGCUAUCAGGUUGUUGGUGGGGUAACGGCCUACCAAGCCUAAGACGGCUAGCGGGUGUGAGAGCAUGACCCGCCGCAUCGGGACUGAGACACUGCCCGGACUCCUACGGGAGGCUGCAGUAACGGAUCUUCCGCAAUGCGCGAAAGCGUGACGGAGCAAUGCCGCGUGCAGGAUGAAGCCCUUCGGGGUGUAAACUGCUGUCAGGGAUUAGGAAUUUUGACCAAACCCAAAGGAAGGGCCGGCUAACUCUGUGCCAGCAGCCGCGGUAAGACAGAGGGCCCGAGCGUUAAUCGGAAUCACUGGGCUUAAAGCGUGCGCAGGCGGACAUGUAAGUACCUUGUGAAAUCCCACCGCUCAACGGUGGAAUUGCAGGGUAUACUG